rnacentral:lncRNA from 1 species
GUUAUUGUGCGAAUUUGGCGGCUCCACUGGAAUUCAAACGGCUACAGCCGCUUCCGCCAUCUUGUGGCCCUGACCGUGAAGCCGUUGAAGCCGCCCCGGGAGGGCCUGGCCCCCGGGCACCAUAGGCAUCUAUUGGGAAGCCGUCAUUUUUGCUGAGGGAGCCGCCUGCGGAAGCAGGCGAGGACGCCCUCUUAACUGAGGGCAGACGGGGGUGGAGAAUGCCAACUGGGCUGAGAGCUGGGUAGGAGUUGAGUGUGGGCAGCCGCCAUCUUGAGUGAGGGAAGGAAGGUCGGGGGAGCCUGAGCAGCGGUCAGUUUGCAAUAGAAGCUGGUUAAGGAGGUGCCAUCUUUACUAAGGGCACGGUGUUGCGUCGUUAGGAUGGGGACACGUGUGUGGGAGCUGCCGUCUUAAUUUAGGGCCCCGUGGUGCACAGUGUGGGGAGAAGUGCUGGAUUACACUUAUUCACCAUAACCAUCUGGACGAUGUCAAGAAGAUGCUUACCUCCUCAGUGCAUUGGCUUUGGAUCAGUACCAGAAGCGACACAUGAUGGACCCCACCAAUGUAUGUGCAACAGUCCUGACUUCUCAGCCUGACACCCCUUCUCUAACCUGAUGAUUUUCUGCACUGGGCCCGAUGAACCUCUGCAGUCUACAUCCUACUUAACUGGUCAUUCUCAUUCUCAAACCUGCCAGUGGCAAAACCUCAACAUUACAGAAGUUUGAUGGCAAGUUAUAAUACAAGCAACUGAAUGUAGAAGGAGUCCUGCUGGAAAAACCAAGGUCUUUGGUAGGAUGACAUACUUG